UUUACAGUUUUCUUUGGACAGGUUUCAGGGGCUGUGAACAUUCUUGGAGAGAGGGCCUGAGUGUGCAAAUCCUUUAGGUUAGACCCCAAGGCACCCCUUCGUUUAGCCAGUCCCUGGGAAGGAUGUAGUGCCAAGCAGGGGCAGGUACUUAGCCGACUGGGGUGACAGGAUUGCUGUGUCUCUGGGGAAGCUCUCAAGGAACAGCAGCUAAAGAAGAAACCCAGCUUCAUGGAGACCCAUCGACACUUCUGAGACACAACGGACUGCCCACCUCAUCCUAACUGGAAUCAGUAACUCAGAGCUGCCCUGGUCGUCAUGUGUUUGGGUGGCCUUGUGAGGAUGUCCUUCCAUUCUCAGUUCCAGGCUGGUGUCACUCACUGAAGGUUAGAGUGAUUCCCUGGUACUUCAUACUUUAAACACUUCUUCUGAUCUAAACCUUGAAUCUCCUGGCCACACAACACGCAGUGUUUCUUCCAAGUGAUCGGUCUCCCAUAAUGUUCUGCUGGACUUUCCUUCUUAGAGAGCCCUAUCGUAGGGAGCUGUCAUCUGCCCUCACCCCUCUCCUUUCUGACCCAGGGGGAACAUCUCAGCUGUCCCGCGAUACAUUCUGAUAAGUGGUGAGACAGAUGCGCGCGUGUGCAGCGUGUACAGCUGGGUGGCAUCCUCACUCCUAUUGUGACCACCGGCCGUCACAGGCCAGCCUCUCGUGAGGGUGUUUUCAACCCUCAUCUCUCUCCGUAAGACCAGUGGGAAAACUCUGGCUGAGAAUGAACCGAUUUGCCCCAUGUCAUAAAGCCCAGAAGCCCAGCCAGGACUUCCGACCCCAAACGCAGGUCUUUUCCAAUAUGGAGAGUCAUCUAACUUGGGAAGCCAUCUACUCAGAAACUAAGUUGUUAGACGUGCUGUACAAGGCAGACCCUCUGAGGAAUGAGGGCCAUCGACGUUACAGAAACGUGUCUUCCCCAGCCUGUAUAGACCUCAGGAAACAGUGCAGUGGUGCCCCCAGUAUGGACUAAGUCAAACUGGAUGAGCCUACAUCUCACCCUCCUCCACCCCCCCGAAUCCAUAUCCUUUGGAAAUUUUGG